rnacentral:rRNA from 1 species
CCUACGGGAGGCAGCAGUGAGGAAUAUUGGUCAAUGGACGCAAGUCUGAACCAGCCAUGCCGCGUGUAGGAAGACGGCUCUAUGAGUUGUAAACUGCUUUUGUACGAGGGUAAACGCAGGUACGCGUAUCUGUCUGAAAGUAUCGUACGAAUAAGGAUCGGCUAACUCCGUGCCAGCAGCCGCGGUAAUACGGAGGAUUCAAGCGUUAUCCGGAUUUAUUGGGUUUAAAGGGUGCGUAGGCGGUCUGAUAAGUUAGAGGUGAAAUCUCGAGGCUCAACUUCGGAAUUGCCUCUGAUACUGUACGGCUAGAGAGUAGUUGCGGUAGGCGGAAUGUAUGGUGUAGCGGUGAAAUGCUUAGAGAUCAUACAGAACACCGAUUGCGAAGGCAGCUUACCAAGCUAUUUCUGACGUUGAGGCACGAAAGCGUGGGGAGCAAACAGGAUUAGAUACCCGGGUAGUC